rnacentral:miRNA from 1 species
GUUUUUGCAUAAGUGUGUUCCAUGAAAUAUUUGGGACAUAUUUACACUAAGA